UGUUGGUCGCUUGUGUAGAGCCUAAACAAGGAACUUUGUAAUCUACAUUUCUAACCAAACCCUAAAGGUGAAAACACUAAGUAAACCUGUCAUCGACUUGUAUAAUAUUUACCACUUUUGUAUAUAUAUAUAAAUCUAGUUGUGCGUACAUCUGUCUGUCUGGUAUGAAGAGUUGUUUGUGAGGAUCUGACUCAACCAAUUUCGAUGUUAUUUAGUAGAAGAAAUCAGGUGGACCCCUAACCCCCUUCUCCUCCUUAAGAUCGUACUUUUAAUCCGUAUAACGCAUCAUUAAAUUGAUUAGUUACUACAGUGUUGAAAAUGAUUUUUUAUGUACAACACUCUUUUCGAAACUUAACCUAGUGAACAAAAGUAUAUUAUCAUUUGAACUCUUUGUGACGUGCAGGACUUAAGAUCGUACUUUUAAUCCGUAUAACGCAUCAUUAAAUUGAUUAGUUACUACAGUGUUGAAAAUGAUUUUUUAUGUACAACACUCUUUUCGAAACUUAACCUAGUGAACAAAAGUAUAUUAUCAUUUGAACUCUUUGUGACGCGCAGGACUUAAGAUCGAGUCUAAAAUGGAGAAACAAGGCAUUUCAAUUUCACCAAUUUAAUGCCAAGAAUGAGGAUUGAACUGUGCGAGGAUGUCGGUAGUGAAAUACAUGAAGCCAACGACAAACGAACGUGACAUUUAAUGCCGUGCAUAGCCCGGGUACUUUUGCAUCAGACGAACGGGAAAAAUCAACGCCUGUCAGUAGACUUAUACAAGGGCGUCAUUUGGGGACCAAGCUCGGGCAGGAGCAUCAAGUGGAAUUUUGGCAGGAUGGAUUAUCACAUUUACACGCAUUACACCAUAGCAUACGGUCACCAGCUGAACUGUGGGCCCAUGCGAGGUCACCCCUCUAAGCUUUUUUGUGAAAUGACUGGACUCUUUGCCUUUCUUUGGGCCUACACAAAGUAAGGUGUCUAGCGGUGAUAAAAGACAUCUACGUGAAUUUCUUGUCUCGACUUAAAUAACAUGUAUUCAAUAAGUUAGUAUAAGAAAGAAAAGUGCUUGGUAAGUUUGAGUUGAAAGGAAUUUAAACAACAUCAAGUGCAUAGUAAAUUUGAAGCUCAAGUUAUUGCAA